UACGAAAGGGGCUAGCGUUGUUCGGAAUUACUGGGCGUAAAGCGCACGUAGGCGGCCUGUCAAGUCAGGGGUGAAAGCCCAGAGCUCAACUCUGGAAUUGCCUUUAAAACUGGUAAGCUCGAGGAUGUGAGAGGUGAGUGGAAUUCCGAGUGUAGAGGUGAAAUUCGUAGAUAUUCGGAAGAACACCGGUGGCGAAGGCGACUCACUGGCACAUUUCUGACGCUGAGGUGCGAAAGCGUGGGGAGCAAACAGG
rnacentral:rRNA from 1 species